AUACGGAGGGGGCAAGCGUUGUUCGGAAUUACUGGGCGUAAAGCGCGCGUAGGCGGGCUGGUCAGUUGGGGGUGAAAUCCCGAGGCUUAACCUCGGAACUGCCCUCAAUACUGCCAGUCUUGAGUUCGAGAGAGGUGAGUGGAAUUCCUAGUGUAGAGGUGAAAUUCGUAGAUAUUAGGAAGAACACCAGUGGCGAAGGCGGCUCACUGGCUCGAUACUGACGCUGAGGCGCGAAAGCGUGGGGAGCAAACAGGAUUAGAUACCCCGGUAGUCC
rnacentral:rRNA from 1 species